AAAAGGCAUCCAUAAAUGGGAUAGUUAACAAACAGUGCAGGGCAGAGUAUAAUCAAGGUUCCUGUGGUGGUAAGAUCAGCAAGGACUGCAGAAAUUCAGAGGAAGGAAAAAUCAGUGCCCGCUGGAAUAGGACAGAGAAGCUUUGCAACAAAGAUGGUGGAUGGAGGGGGUAAGGAGGGUCUUGGAGGAGAAUCAGAAAUCUGAGCGUAGGAAGAAGUGGGUUAGCCCUGGAGAAAGGAAAAGGAGGAUCAUGGUUCUCUGCAAAGAGCUGGAAGCUAAAAAGCAGGCUGUGUUUACUUACCAACCAGGACUCAGUGGGAUCUUUGCCAGCUUCCAAUAUGGCCUUAAAAGUAUAUGAAAUCCAAGAAAUAUUUCUGCAAAGCAAGAGAUCUUCACUGCUUUAUUUUCCACCACCUGAAUCCUUGCAGUGAGUGUAGUGUGUAUCUAAUCAAUCUAUUAAAAAAUACUUCA
rnacentral:lncRNA from 1 species